CCUACGGGAGGCAGCAGUAGGGAAUCUUCCACAAUGGACGAAAGUCUGAUGGAGCAACGCCGCGUGAGUGAAGAAGGGUUUCGGCUCGUAAAGCUCUGUUGGUAGUGAAGAAAGAUAGAGGUAGUAACUGGCCUUUAUUUGACGGUAAUUACUUAGAAAGUCACGGCUAACUACGUGCCAGCAGCCGCGGUAAUACGUAGGUGGCAAGCGUUGGCCGGAUUUAUUGGGCGUAAAGCGAGUGCAGGCGGGUCGAUAAGUCUGAUGUGAAAGCCGUCGGCUCAACCGGAGAAGUGCAGUCGAAACUGGUGAACUUGAGUGCAGAAGAGGGGAGUGGAACUCCAUGGGUAGCGGUGAAAUGCGUAGAUAUAUGGAAGAACACCAGUGGCGAAGGCGGCUCUCUGGACUGAAACUGACGCUGAGGCUCGAAAGCGUGGGUAGCGAACAGGAUUAGAUACCCUGGUAGUC
rnacentral:rRNA from 1 species